CCACAAACUGGAGGGAAAAGAAGAGGAAAAGUCUUUAGCGUGGUUUAUCCGGACGUACUUUGGUCUGCUGAAGAUGUGGCCUUAUAGACUUCAUGUAGAAGUCACCGUGGAGUUUUGUGAAUGGAAAACGUUCUUGAAGAAACGAAGGUUAAAAUAUGAGGCUGUAGCGUGACGCAGGGUGGUACUGGAGGUGAUAUCCGGAGUAAUCAUGCGGGAGCUCCCAUCCUGAAACACGCAGAUCUCCAUGUGGCUGAAGCGACCGGCAGAUGCACACGGUUCUUAAUAUACUAUAAGCGUGUCUAAACAUUUACAUGAAGUGCAGCUCGACCUGUCGCCAGCCUCUGGGGAACUUCCCGAGGAUGGAUGAAAGCUUCCAAAGCAAGACUGUGGGGACAACGGUCAACACACUCAAAUCUGUCUGAAGUCGGUCAACCUGUGAUGUUUUUUUUGAUGUGCAUCUCACUCUGUUGAUAAUAAACUUUAAAAUUGUAA